rnacentral:tRNA from 1 species
GGCACCGUGGCCUAAUGGUAAGGCGUCGCUUUCCGGUGGCGAAGACUUGCGGGGUAUGUCUUGAAAAUCCACUCUCCUAUAUCAUCUCUUGCUCUCGGGUAUGGCGAGAAUCGGGUAGAUGAUAUUUUACGUUGAUUGUGAGACUAAUUGGUGGGAAUGAUUAGUUCGAGUCCCGUCGGUGUCG